rnacentral:rRNA from 1 species
CCACGGAAUUUAGCAGAGAUGCUUUAGUGCCUUCGGGAACCGUGAGACAGGUGCUGCAUGGCUGUCGUCAGCUCGUGUUGUGAAAUGUUGGGUUAAGUCCCGCAACGAGCGCAACCCUUAUCCUUUGUUGCCAGCGGGUUAUGCCGGGAACUCAAAGGAGACUGCCAGUGAUAAACUGGAGGAAGGUGGGGAUGACGUCAAGUCAUCAUGGCCCUUACGAGUAGGGCUACACACGUGCUACAAUGGCGCAUACAAAGAGAAGCGACCUCGCGAGAGCAAGCGGACCUCAUAAAGUGCGUCGUAGUCCGGAUUGGAGUCUGCAACUCGACUCCAUGAAGUCGGAAUCGCUAGUAAUCGUAGAUCAGAAUGCUACGGUGAAUACGUUCCCGGGCCUUGUACACACCGCCCGUCACACCAUGGGAGUGGGUUGCAAAAGAAGUAGGUAGCUUAACCUUCGGGAGGGCGCUUACCACUUUGUGAUUCAUGACUGGGGUGAAGUCGUAACAAGGUAGGCGUAGUGCU